AGCGAACGCUGGCGGCAGGCUUAACACAUGCAAGUCGAACGGGCGUAGCAAUACGUCAGUGGCAGACGGGUGAGUAACGCGUGGGAACGUACCUUUUGGUUCGGAACAACCCAGGGAAACUUGGGCUAAUACCGGAUAAGCCCUUACGGGGAAAGAUUUAUUGCCGAAGGAACGGCCCGCGUCCGAUUAGCUAGUUGGUGAGGUAAUGGCUCACCAAGGCAACGAUCGGUAGCUGGUCUGAGAGGANGACCAGCAUCACUGGGACUGAGACACGGCCCAGACUCCUACGGGAGGCAGCAGUGGGGAAUAUUGGACAAUGGGCGCAAGCCUGAUCCAGCCAUGCCGCGUGGAUGAUGAAGGCCUUAGGGUUGUAAAGUCCUUUUAACGGGAAGAUAAUGACGGUACCCGUAGAAUAAGCCCCGGCUAACUUCGUGCCAGCAGCCGCCGUAAC
rnacentral:rRNA from 1 species